GGGAGGGGCUAGGGGCAGAGUCCAGGGCUUGGGCCUCAAGGCCGCAGCAGAUAACAAAGUGCAAAAAUGUGGCUGUUCCUGCAUCCAUUAAAAAACAUGAAUAACAAGAGGCCAGAAAACUGCUCACAGAUCUCCUGUCGCCAAGUCCACGAGGGCCGGGGCCCAUGCAGGCCGGGGCCCAUGCAGGCCGGCCCCCCGGCUCCCCGGCGGCUGUUCCUGAGGCGGGCCGUCCUUUCUCCGCGUUUCUGAGUCCUCUGCGGGCCAUCUCCUCCCCAGCUGCUGAGGGCAACACCCCCCCCCCCCGGGGGAGCUCGGGCUCCCUCCGUCUCUCCCAUGAGGCUUUAUUGCUAUACGGGGGCGGCAGGUGCGCUCAGUGACCCCCCGGCCCGAGAGAGGAGACAGCGGAGAAGCUCGGCACUCGGGGAGCGGCUGGGGCGGCGGCGGGGAGAGGAAGCAGGCUGGUCUCGGUCCGGGCGCCUCCUGUGCUACACCAGACAAGGCGAACGUCCUUGCCCACGUUCGCUAAGAAAGGUUCCCUCGUGGCCGCCGCCUCACUGGUCCUGACCACCAGCUUUACCAAUGCAGCA